GUCAGGGGGCCACCCAGGCCGCAGCCCUCGGGGGCGGUGAGUCUGGACAGAGACGACCACUUCCGGAGGGGCCGGGAGCCCUUCAUGUCCAGACAAGAGUCGGGCUCCCGCUCUCGGCCACCGUGGUCGCCCAGCGCCUGCAGGAGGCCCGCGCUCCAUCGCGGUCCCUCGGACACCGUACCAGAGAUUGAACCUGGGCCUCAUGCACCCUAGUGUGUCUGGGUCAAGGUCCACGCUGAGUCCACAAGGCACUCUCUCCCUCCAAGACCUGAGACCCGAGACCCGAGCGAGGGAGGACAGAGAAGCAGUUGUGGAGCCCACAGCAACAAACAACAAGGACCAUCCCCAAGGGAUCGCAGCAAAAUUCUCAGCCAUGGAAGCGAAGAACGAGAGACAGUCAGACAGACAGAAGAACCCACAGGGAAAUGCCAGCUGGGGAAGGAGCAGGGGGCGUCGAGUGUCUGCAGAAAGAAAGGAGCUCGAGCCUUGGAAAUAAAUACCAGACCCCAAACUGGGACAGACAGAAACACAGGGCUCAGACAGGAGCCUCACACCCCAACGCUCCAGCAAGGGAGCAGGCACCCAGCACAUACCAGUCCCUCCCUGUGAUGCAAUCGGGUGCAGAAUCACAAAGGGGCCAUCCGACUGUUCCUGAUGGAUGAAUGGAGUCAUUCUCACCAGACUCCUGAAAUAAGGGUGUGAGGACGGAGAAGAAGAAUCGUUUCUGAAGCAAUGAUGAUAGAGCAAAAAACUGUGGCAGGAAAUCUAAAAGUCAUGUCAUAAGUCCUACAAUAAAUAAGCUGUUUCUACGUUAAAGAUGAAAGCAGGCUCAGCGAAGUGAGAAAUUCUCCAAGAAGUGGCCCUCUCCCUCCCUCACGGACAGCAGUGCCUCUGUCUUGGGGACUGACGCCCCUGUGUGAUGGCCUAGGAAUCACUCUGCCCCUGCAAGCCCACCCAUCCGCUCUAACACUGCAUCCGUUACCAGUGAAAACAACCUCAUCAUUCACAGUCUUGUAAAAAUCCCAUUAGGCUAACUGAAAACUUGAAAAAAAUCCUAUAAUGGCUCAUUUUAUUUACUACUUCAGGAAUUUUAGUAGUCACCCACAGAAAGUAAUGCCUUAGAAACCAUUUUUUAAGCUGGGUAUGGUUCAUGCCUCUAAUCCCAGCCCGUGAGGAGGCUGAAGCAGAAGACUGCAGUUUGAGAGUAGCCUGACAAUCCAAUGAGCCUGUCCCAAAAUUUAAAAAAAAAAGUUGGGCCAGGGGUUUAGCUCAGUGGUUCCAGCACCUGCCUCGCAAGCACAAGGUCCGGAGUUCGAUCCCUGGUACCAAAAAAUAAAAAUAAAAAUAAAAUAAAACAAAAUAAAAGUUAAGGGCUGGAGGUGUAGCUCAGUGUAGAGCUCCCCUGGAUUUGGUUCCUAGUACCACAAAGCUAAGCAAAUGUUUUUUAAAAAGAUAAUACAUUCUUAUCUUUAGAUAAAAUUUAUCUUUUCUUUAGCAUAUCAACUUUUUCUUAAAUGCCUUUGAAAUCAAGUCAAAAUGAAUCACACACUUAAAUGUAAAUGAUAAGCCUCUUAGAACAAAAGAGAGAGAAAAUAUUUAAGAUCUGGGACUAAUCAAAGAGUUCUUACAUUUCACCUAAGAAGCAUAAUUCAUAAAGAAAAAACAGCACACUGCAAUUCAGAUUUAAAAACUCAUGCUCUGCUGAUGGCAUUGUUAGGUUACAAAGACCAGCUGCACAGCUGGGGUGGGGGUGUUUACAACAGCCCAGCCCAGCGAAGACCAGCAUCCAAAUGUGCAAAGAAGCCCAAAACUCAACAGUGAAAAGGCAAUAAUACAGUGAGAAAGUGGGCAAAAGACACGAAGAGGUAUUUCCGUGAUGAGGACAGAAAUCUCCAUUCCAGCCUCCUGCCCGCUCAGGACAGUGAGAAGAGCAGAGCGCCAAGCACAGGACUGCGGAGCGCCUCCUCUACACACACCCACACUGCCUGAGGACUGCGCGCCUGGGAAGAAGCACACACAAGCCCUUCUGCAGCAAAGAACAGCAGGAGCAUGAGAAACAGCAGCUUCCAAGCUAGACCACGAGAGGCAGCUCAGUGGGAACUAUCUGACGGAAUGUCAGGCAACUGCAAUCAGCAUGCUGCACCCGCUGAUGAAAAAGCCAGUGCGUGCAAGAACAGAGGCCUAAUGUCCACAGCAGCACACAGAUGCUCAGAAAGAAUCACAGGGAAAUGCUAGAGAUGGAAACGCUCCACUAGAAGAGCAGAACCACCUUGACAUGGCGUCAGGAGCACAUGCUUUAGUCGGCUUCUCACUGCUAUCACAAAAUGCCAGAGCACAGCAACCUCAGGGCAGAAAGACUGACUCGGGCUUGCACCUGCAAAAGUUUGGCCCACAGCACAGGGCCAUGGCAGGGGAAAGCUGCUCGCUCACGACAGCCAGGAAGGAGAGCGCAGCCAGCACGCCCAGCGUACCCUUCUCCUGCUGCUGCCCUGGGGCAGUGCCCUGGACACAGCCAGCCAUGCACUUUACUAAUCCCAGUGAUCCUCAGUCCCACCUUGUAGACAAGCAAGACUGACCAUCACAGGAGACUGAGAGCAGCUAAGGAAAGUCUGUGAACUGGAAGACAUGUCAACAGAAACAUCUAAAAUUAAAAACAAAGGGUAAAAAGACUGAUAAAAAUGUAAGACAAUACCCAAAGACUGCGGCACAACUACCAAAGGUGGACAUUAUACCUUCACCAAAAAGAUGGAUCACAGACAUAAAUGUAAAACAAGAAACUAAAAGUCAUGGAAACACAAAUUAAAGCAGCAAAUCCCACAGAACCACUGAGAACACCAAAUGCAGACAGGGACAUGGAGCGGCAGACUCUCACCCAUAGCUGUGGGAACAUAAAAGGUGCAGCCACUCUGACAGACAGUCUGGAAGUUUCUCCCAAAACUAAACCUACUUUGAUCAUACCUAUCCAGCAAAUGUGCAGGGUACUGACCCAAAGGAGCUAAAAAUGGAUGUAAGUACAAAAAUGUGCACAAGAAUAUUUAUAGAAGCUUUGUUCACAACCUCCAAAACGUGGAGCAGCCAAGACGUCCUUUAGUAAACAAAUGGAUAAACAAACUGGUACAUCCAGACUCCGGGAUAUUACUCAGCACUGAAAACAAAACAAGCCAUGAAGAGACACGGGGAAACAUAAAUGCAUACUACUUAGGGAAUGAAACCAAUCUGAAAAGACUAUAUAAAGUAUGAUUCCAGCUACGUACGUGACAUCUGGGAAGAGGCAGAAAGUACGGCGAUGGUAAAAAGCAGUGGUUACUAGGACCUGCGGGUAAGGAGAAAGGAACAGGCAGCCCCCGCCGGGGGUUCUUAAGGCAGUGGAACUGUUCUGUCCAGGCCCAUCCGGCUGACAGGGCCUCAGUGCAGGCUUGUAAGUGCCUACGCUUUCACUCCGGUGAGACGCUGACCUCAGAGGAGGCUGAGCCCAUGCGGAAACAGACAUGUGGCAAAUCUCUGCACCCCUAAAACCCAGUUACCUUUGAAAAACGAGAUCUCACGACCACAACGUGCUAUCACCGUAUACAGAAAGGGUAGGGUUUCUAAACAUCAAACUCUGGCAAGUAUAAGGAGAAACUUGAUCACUUAUACACGCAGUAGGGGGAAAUGGCAGUCACUCUGGAAAUGGUGUGGCGGUUUCUUCCAGAACUGAACAAGCAACUGCUACACAACCCGGCUGCUGCACUCCUGGCCACAGGGCCAGAGAAAGGAAGGCCCGUCUCUGCUGCCCACCAAGCCCUGAGGGUGCGUUCGGGUGCGUUCGCAGCACCUUCAGGCUAAGGGCAGCACAGCACGAGGGAAGCAGCUUAGACGCCCACGGCAGGGCAGGAUCAGCUGCAGUCUCCAGGGCCCCACUGCGGAGCGCCACUCACCCAUGGAAAGGGAGGAACUGUCCUACAGACUCCCAUUCACACAGCGCUCUCCAAACAGACAGUCAGACCUGGAAGAGACUGGUGCUGUCCAGGAGAGACAGACGGGGCACAGAGAGGAGUGCCGGAGCACAGGCUGGGUGCGUGGAAAGCUCUGCAUGUCACCUCUGGGGCCAUUACCCCCUGCAACACUGCACUGGAGCCGGGUGAGAUAUUUCCAGGGGAAGGGGUGAGGGCUACACAGAACCCCGCCGUAUGAAUCUUAAAACACCACAUGCUACAGCUCUCUCAGAAUAAGAUGUUUAGUUAAGAAAAUUAAAGGGAAGAUGGAGGAUCACCAGAGAGAGAAUUUAAUUUGGUGAUACAGCAACUCAGAAAAAUAUUAAGCACUCAAAUACUGUAAUUUUUAGUUUGAACAAUAAAGUAGAGCCGUUGGAUAUCCGCAGUGCACAACUG